GAGCGUUACUGACGCUUAAGCUCGAAAGCGCGGGUAUCGAACAGGAUUAGAUACCCUGGUAGUCCGCGCGGUAAACGAUGGAUGCCCGCUGUUUGCGUCUAACGUAAGCGGCCAAGUGAAAACGUUAAGCAUCCCACCUGGGGAGUACGCCGGCAACGGUGAAACUCAAAGGAAUUGACGGGGGCCCGCACAAGCGGAGGAACAUGUGGUUUAAUUCGAUGAUACGCGAGGAACCUUACCCGGGCUUGAAUUGCUGAGGAAAGAUCCAGAGAUGGUGAUGCCCUUCGGGGCCUCAGUGAAGGUGCUGCAUGGUUGUCGUCAGCUCGUGCCGUGAGGUGUCGGCUUAAGUGCCAUAACGAGCGCAACCCCUCUCUUCAGUUGCCAUCAGGCUAUGCUGGGCACUCUGGAGACACUGCCACCGCAAGGUGUGAGGAAGGUGGGGAUGACGUCAAAUCAGCACGGCCCUUACGUCCGGGGCUACACACGUGUUACAAUGGGGGGCACAGAGAGCGGGGUGCGCGCAAGCUUGCCCAAAUCCUUAAAUCCCCCCACAGUUCGGACUGGGGUCUGCAACCCGACCCCACGAAGCUGGAUCGCUAG
rnacentral:rRNA from 1 species